rnacentral:rRNA from 1 species
AGUGAACGCUGGCGGCGUGCCUAAUACAUGCAAGUCGAACGAACGAAUAAGAGCUUGCUCUUCUCAGUUAGUGGCGCACGGGUGAGUAAUAUAUAGCUAAUCUGCCUCUUAGUAGAGGAUAACAGUCGGAAACGAUUGCUAAUACUCUAUACUUCUGCUUUACAUAAGUAAAGUAGAGAAAGUUUUUCGCUAAGAGAUGAGGCUAUACUGUAUCAGCUAGUUGGUAAGGUAACGGCUUACCAAGGCUAUGACGCAUAACUGGUCUGAGAGGAUGAUCAGUCACAUUGGAACUGAGACACGGUCCAAACUCCUACGGGAGGCAGCAGUAGGGAAUAUUGCGCAAUGGGGGAAACCCUGACGCAGCAACGCCGCGUGGAGGAUGACACCUUUCGGAGCGUAAACUCCUUUUAUCGGGAAAGAAUAAUGACGGUACCCGAUGAAUAAGCACCGGCUAACUCCGUG